rnacentral:lncRNA from 1 species
AUGAAGGGGACGGAAGCACGUGGUGAUCUUCAGAAACCUGUGACGUCACUUCCUAUCACUUGGCCUAUCACUCACCCCAGGUUAAGCAAUCCAGAGAGUGACCCCAUGUCCUCCCAGGAGCAAGUCUGCUGCUGCAGCCUUCAAGCAUGUGUUUGCCCCCUAAUAACGCUGGCAGUGGAAAGCACCAGUCAUCUGGGGAUGAGGACACAGGCAGCAAGAAGAUUAAAUGAGAUACUGAACAGAAAAGGCACAGUGCAUGCAUCUGUGGAGGACUCAGUAAGUAGUGUCGUGACCUAAGGGUGUGCCUUUAUUCCUGUAUGUCUUAUUUUAUUUUUUAAUUGAAGCAUAGUUGAUUUACGAUGUUGUGUCAAUGUCUGCAGUACAGCACAUGACUCAGUCAUCCAUAUAUAUAUAUAUAUAUAUAUAUACACAUAUACUCUUUUUUAAUAUUAUUUUCCAUCAUGGUCUAGCCUAAAAGAUUAGAUGUAGUUCCCUUUGCUAUACAGUAAGACCUCAUUGCUUAUCCAUUCUAAAAGUAAUGGUUUGCAUUUGCUAACCACAAAUUCCCAGUCCAUCCCAUCCCCCCACCCCCCCGCUGUAGCAACAACAAGUCUGUUCUUCAUGUCUGUGAGUCUAUUUCUAUUUUGUAGAUAGGUUCAUUUUCUCAUAUUUUGGAUUCCACAUAUAAGGGAUGUCAUAUGGUAUUUGUCCUUCUUUUUCUGACUUACUUCACUAAGUAUGAUAAUCUCUAGUUGCAUCCACACUGCUG